AGCAGCCGCGGUAAUUCCAGCUCCAAUAGCGUAUAUUAAAGUUGUUGCAGUUAAAAAGCUCGUAGUUGAAUUUCGAGAUCAGUACGCUGCUCGUGCCUUCGGUAUGCACUGGUGUCACUGGUUUCUCCCUUCUGAAGAACCGUCAUGCCAUUCAGUUGGUGUGGCGGGGAAUCAGGACUGUUACUUUGAAAAAAUUAGAGUGUUUAAAGCAGGCUCGCGCUUGAAUACAUUAGCAUGGAAUAAUGAAAUAGGACGUUUGACCCUAUUUUGUUGGUUUCUAGGAUCGACGUAAUGAUUAAUAGGGAUAGUUGGGGGCAUUAGUAUUCAAUUGUCAGAGGUGAAAUUCUUGGAUUUAUUGAAGACUAACUACUGCGAAAGCAUUUGCCAAGGAUGUUUUCAUUAAUCAAGAACGAAAGUUAGGGGAUCGAAGACGAUCAGAUACCGUCGUAGUCUUAACCAUAAACUAUGCC
rnacentral:rRNA from 1 species